GGCAGCAGACAAAGAUGUGUGUA
rnacentral:siRNA from 1 species